UCUCUGGAGGUGGUCACUCAAGUAAACUGCUUAGACACCAUGGAAUGUAGUUCCAUCAUCCUGACACCUAGCAUGCUCUUCAUUCACAACGGGUUUGAUAUCUGCUAUGAAAUGCCUAUGAGUA